CUCGAAUUUAAAAGAGUUAAUUAAUUAAAAAAUUUAAUGUGGUAUAAUUAUUUUUAAUAAUUAAUUAGAAAUGAAAUGUUAAUCGUUUUUAAAUAUAUCUAGUUUUUUUAGAAAAAAAUUUAAUUUUAAAUUAAAAUAAUUUUAUUUUUUAAUAAAAAAAAAUUAAAAAUUUUAAAUUUAAUAUUUUAAGGGAUAAGCUUUAAAUUAAAAAGUUAUAAUAAAAUUAUUUUAAUUUAAAAUUUUUAAAAUUUAUAUUGUUUAAAAAUUAUAAUUUAUUAUAAAAAAUUUUAUUAAAGUUAAAAUUUAAUAUUAAAAAAUUUAAUUUUUUAUAAAAUAAUAAUUUUCAAUAAUAAAAAAUUAGAAAUUAUGAUAAAAUUAGUAUAAAUUAUAUAUAUAUAUAUAUAUAUAUAUAAUAUAAAAAUUAAUAUUAAAAUUAAUUAAAAGGAAUUCGGCAAAUUGUAAUAUUCACUUGUUUAUCAAAAACAUGUCUUUUUGAUAAUAAUUUAAAGUCUAAUCUGCCCACUGAUUUAUUAAAGGGCUGCAGUAUAUUAACUGUACAAAGGUAGCAUAAUCAUUAGUUUUUUAAUUGGAAACUUGUAUGAAAGAUUUGAUGAAAUAUUAACUGUCUCUUAAUUAUUAAUAAAACUUUAUUUUUUAGUUAAAAAGCUAAAAUAAAUUUAAAAGACGAGAAGACCCUAUAGAGUUUUAUAUUUGAAUUUUUAUUUUAAAUAUAUAUAUAAAUUAAUAUUAAUAAAAUUAAAUAUUAUAUUGGGGUGAUAGAAAAAUUUAAUUAACUUUUUUUAAAUAAUAAACAUAAAUAAGUGAAUAAAUGAUCCAUUUAUAAUGAUUACAAGAAAAAAUUACCUUAGGGAUAACAGCGUAAUAUUUUUUUUUAGUACAUAUAAGAAAAAAAGAUUGCGACCUCGAUGUUGGAUUAAGAUAAAAUUUAAAUGCAAAAGUUUAAAAUUUUGAUCUGUUCGAUCAUUAAAAUCUUACAUGAUCUGAGUUCAA
rnacentral:rRNA from 1 species